rnacentral:rRNA from 1 species
CACGUAGGGGGCAAGCGUUGUCUGGAUUUAUUGGGCGUAAAGAGCUCGUAGGCGGUUUCGUAAGUCGGAUGUGAAAACUCCAGGCUCAACUUGGAGACGCCAUUCGAUACUGCGAUGACUUGAGUCCGGUAGGGGAGUGUGGAAUUCCUGGUGUAGCGGUGAAAUGCGCAGAUAUCAGGAGGAACACCAAUGGCGAAGGCAGCUCGCUGGGACGUGACUGACGCUGAGACGCGAAAGCGUGGGGAGCAAACAGG